UCUUUUUUUCUCGUUGUGUUUCCCCCACCCUGUUUUUUAAACCAUUUUCUACUGUGAGAGAUGGUAUUUUUAGAGCCUACAGAUUCAAAGAAUUCACAAA